UACGUAGGGUGCAAGCGUUAAUCGGAAUUACUGGGCGUAAAGCGUGCGCAGGCGGUUAUAUAAGACAGAUGUGAAAUCCCCGGGCUCAACCUGGGAACUGCAUUUGUGACUGUAUAGCUAGAGUACGGUAGAGGGGGAUGGAAUUCCGCGUGUAGCAGUGAAAUGCGUAGAUAUGCGGAGGAACACCGAUGGCGAAGGCAAUCCCCUGGACCUGUACUGACGCUGAGGAGCGAAAGCGUGGGGAGCGAACAGG
rnacentral:rRNA from 1 species